rnacentral:rRNA from 1 species
AAGUGGGAAACGAUGUGGGAAGGCCCAGACAGCCAGGAUGUUGGCUUAGAAGCAGCCAUCAUUUAAAGAAAGCGUAAUAGCUCACUGGUCGAGUCGGCCUGCGCGGAAGAUGUAACGGGGCUAAACCAUGCACCGAAGCUGCGGCAGCGACGCUGAUGCGUUGUUGGGUAGGGGAGCGUUCUGUAAGCCUGUGAAGGUGUACUGUGAGGUAUGCUGGAGGUAUCAGAAGUGCGAAUGCUGACAUAAGUAACGAUAAAGCGGGUGAAAAGCCCGCUCGCCGGAAGACCAAGGGUUCCUGUCCAACGUUAAUCGGGGCAGGGUGAGUCGACCCCUAAGGCGAGGCCGAAAGGCGUAGUCGAUGGGAAACAGGUUAAUAUUCCUGUACUUGGUGUUACUGCGAAGGGGGGACGGAGAAGGCUAUGUUGGCCGGGCGACGGUUGUCCCGGUUUAAGCGUGUAGGCUGGUUUUCCAGGCAAAUCCGGAAAAUCAAGGCUGAGGCGUGAUGACGAGGCACUACGGUGCUGAAGCAACAAAUGCCCUGCUUCCAGGAAAAGCCUCUAAGCAUCAGGUAACAUCAAAUCGUACCCCAAACCGACACAGGUGGUCAGGUAGAGAAUACCAAGGCGCUUGAGAGAACUCGGGUGAAGGAACUAGGCAAAAUGGUGCCGUAACUUCGGGAGAAGGCACGCUGAUAUGUAGGUGAAGUCCCUCGCGGAUGGAGCUGAAAUCAGUCGAAGAUACCAGCUGGCUGCAACUGUUUAUUAAAAACACAGCACUGUGCAAACACGAAAGUGGACGUAUACGGUGUGACGCCUGCCCGGUGCCGGAAGGUUAAUUGAUGGGGUUAGCGCAAGCGAAGCUCUUGAUCGAAGCCCCGGUAAACGGCGGCCGUAACUAUAACGGUCCUAAGGUAGCGAAAUUCCUUGUCGGGUAAGUUCCGACCUGCACGAAUGGCGUAAUGAUGGCCAGGCUGUCUCCACCCGAGACUCAGUGAAAUUGAACUCGCUGUGAAGAUGCAGUGUACCCGCGGCAAGACGGAAAGACCCCGUGAACCUUUACUAUAGCUUGACACUGAACAUUGAGCCUUGAUGUGUAGGAUAGGUGGGAGGCUUUGAAGUGUGGACGCCAGUCUGCAUGGAGCCGACCUUGAAAUACCACCCUUUAAUGUUUGAUGUUCUAACGUUGACCCGUGAUCCGGGUUGCGGACAGUGUCUGGUGGGUAGUUUGACUGGGGCGGUCUCCUCCUAAAGAGUAACGGAGGAGCACGAAGGUUGGCUAAUCCUGGUCGGACAUCAGGAGGUUAGUGCAAUGGCAUAAGCCAGCUUGACUGCGAGCGUGACGGCGCGAGCAGGUGCGAAAGCAGGUCAUAGUGAUCCGGUGGUUCUGAAUGGAAGGGCCAUCGCUCAACGGAUAAAAGGUACUCCGGGGAUAACAGGCUGAUACCGCCCAAGAGUUCAUAUCGACGGCGGUGUUUGGCACCUCGAUGUCGGCUCAUCACAUCCUGGGGCUGAAGUAGGUCCCAAGGGUAUGGCUGUUCGCCAUUUAAAGUGGUACGCGAGCUGGGUUUAGAACGUCGUGAGACAGUUCGGUCCCUAUCUGCCGUGGGCGCUGGAGAACUGAGGGGGGCUGCUCCUAGUACGAGAGGACCGGAGUGGACGCAUCACUGGUGUUCGGGUUGUCAUGCCAAUGGCACUGCCCGGUAGCUAAAUGCGGAAGAGAUAAGUGCUGAAAGCAUCUAAGCACGAAACUUGCCCCGAGAUGAGUUCUCCCUGACUCCUUGAGAGUCCUGAAGGAACGUUGAAGACGACGACGUUGAUAGGCCGGGUGUGUAAGCGCAGCGAUGCGUUGAGCUAACCGGUACUAAUGAACCGUGAGGCUUAACCUU